CUGUUGUCUGUAACCAGUAACUGGUCUAGGGAGAGACCUGUUGUCUUUAGUUAAAUUUAUUUAAAUGAAUGUAAUACACAUUAUUAUAUCCUUCUGGCUAAAUCCCAAAUGGCACCCUAAAUGACCAGUUCAAAAGUAGUGCACUUUAUAGGGAACAGGGUGUCAUUUGGGCCAAAUAUAGGAUAAUUUGACUGUAGCCUUCUGCGUUCAGCAGAGACCACUUUUUCCUUGUUGGCACUUUAUCUGUUGGUUAGUAGGUGUUAUUAUAUUAUUGAACCUCUUGAGCCAUACGCUAUUGGGUUAGUCAGACUGAUCAGCAAGUCUCAAUAAGGUGUUGGGAUCAACAAGUCUCAAAAAGGUGUUGGGUUAGUCAGGCUGAUCAACAAGUCUCAAUAAGGUGUUGGGUUAGUCAGGCUGAUCAACAAGUCUCAAUAAGGUGUUGGGAUCAACAAGUCUCAAUAAGGUGUUGGGUUAGUCAGGCUGAUCAACAAGUCUCAAUAAGGUGUUGGCAUCAACAAGUCUCAAUAAGGUGUUGGGUUAGUCAGGCUGAUCAACAAGUCUCAAUAAGGUGUUGGGUUAGUCAGGCUGAUCAGCAAGUCUCAAGUCUCAAACACCUUAGUAAUAUAUUCUGUCCAUGGACUCAUGCUACUCAUAUUCACUGGGGUUGUGUGUCCCAAAUGGCAACUCAUUCUACAUUUGACCAGGG
ensembl:lncRNA